GGCGAACGGGUGAGUAACACGUGGGCAAUCUGCCCUGCACUCUGGGACAAGCCCUGGAAACGGGGUCUAAUACCGGAUACGACACACGACCGCAUGGUCUGUGUGUGGAAAGCUCCGGCGGUGCAGGAUGAGCCCGCGGCCUAUCAGCUUGUUGGUGGGGUAAUGGCCUACCAAGGCGACGACGGGUAGCCGGCCUGAGAGGGCGACCGGCCACACUGGGACUGAGACACGGCCCAGACUCCUACGGGAGGCAGCAGUGGGGAAUAUUGCACAAUGGGCGCAAGCCUGAUGCAGCGACGCCGCGUGAGGGAUGACGGCCUUCGGGUUGUAAACCUCUUUCAGCAGGGAAGAAGCGCAAGUGACGGUACCUGCAGAAGAAGCGCCGGCUAACUACGUGCCAGCAGCCGCGGUAAUACGUAGGGCGCAAGCGUUGUCCGGAAUUAUUGGGCGUAAAGAGCUCGUAGGCGGCCUGUCACGUCGGAUGUGAAAGCCCGGGGGCU
rnacentral:rRNA from 1 species